rnacentral:lncRNA from 1 species
UCCGAUUCUAUUUCUAACCGUUUAGUCCGAUUGCUUUUCCGAUUCGGUUAUAUCUUCUCGAUUUUAUCUCUAACAGCUAAAUCAAAAUUUCGCCCUUAACAACUUUGUUAAUUAAUUGAUUAGUGGUACUUUAUAAUUUUGUUUUUUUAGGAAUAAAGAUCAUAAUAAGAAGGAUAGUAUUACCUCUUCAAAUUUCUACUACACUUAAUAUUGUUGGUAGUAUAAUUUAAUUAUAGUCAUUCGAUAAAAAUAGAUCAACGCUGUCGAUUAAAUUUGAUAAAAAUAGAUCAACAUUGUCGAUUAAAUUUAAUGAAAGCAGAAUGCACCGGAAACGGACCUACGAAUAUAUUACUUUUGUGCCAGUAUAAAAUCGCUGUGGCAAAAUAUCAUGAGUUGGCUGAUAUUUUGGCACUGAAGAGUGAGGGCGUGGCACGCAAGUUCAUCCAACAGACGAGAAAAAGGCAACACCAACAUGUCGACCAACCAGAAGAGCUCCUUCGAUGGCGACGCCUCCCGAAACGAUAAACACGCCCGCCCGCCGCAACCUCAAUUCCACCGGCGCCCCACCGAGCUCGCCCGCCGCCGCGAUCCACUGAACUGAGCGUUCUCGCUUUCCCGCGCGGACUGGACGGCGUGGCGCCGUCGUUCUAUAUCUACCCCUCCUCGCUCCCUCGCCGCCGUGGAAUCUUGGAAGCCUUGCUUGCUGUUUGCUGCUCGUGCAUGGUGGUGGUGACAGCGAGUGGGGAGAGGAGGAGACCAUGCUGAGGGCAGUGCGCCCGAGGCUGGGGCUGCCGNN